rnacentral:lncRNA from 1 species
UUUGGGGUUCACAGAGACAUGCUGGGACACUGUUCACAAGGUGUUUGUACCGACUCCUUGGCAAGCAAAUGGAAUAUCCUUGAAAGGUGGAAGUCGCACAUCCAUAUCGGCUGCGGAGAGAUGCUGAGGGGGAAACUCAGACUUCUGUCAAGUGGGUCUCCACGGAAGCAGACCGCCAACCCUCACACAGGCCCCGCGUUUAUCUCCUGGUACCGCGACAGGAUGUUGCACACAGUGAUCUUCAAACUCAGCUGUGGCCACAGCCGUGACUCCGUGACAGUUACUGGCAACGUUUUGGCUGAUUCUCUCCACUUCCUAUGCCGUCCCUCUCCAACUUCCCUGUUCCUAAGCUGUUUCAGGUCUAAGCGAGCUUGCAGCACCUUAAGCCUCCUCCCACAAUAGCUUUAAGUCACUUGCUUUUAUUUUAUUUUUAAUGUUCAUAGGUUAUUUUGACAAAGCUCUUUGUAAACUUAAUCAUAAGGCUGUAUUAUAUUCUGUAAAUGCUAACCACAUUUAAGCUUCUCUAAUGAGAGACCUGCCCAUACUUUGGCAUUUAUUUUGUUAUUACAAUUUUUGUCUUUUGCAUUUCUGAAAUUCUUUAAGGUAUAUUCCUGGCUUUAUCGGGGUCAACGGCUCCAGAAAGUUCAGAUUCUUGAUAAACUUUGUCAAAUUUAUUUUCAGAAACAGUUUCAUUAUGAAUUCCCUUUCAUACCUUUGUCAACCUAAAAGGAUUUAUUUCAUGUACCUGUAUUUGGUUGAGCCGUCUCAUAUCUUUUUAACAUAGUUAUUAACUAUAGCUUUCUUCAGUGAGUUGUCUGUUAAUGAUUUUUCUCAUUGGCCUACUGGGGUCCUCAUGUUCUUAAUUACUUUGUCUGUGUUAUUGAUAAAUUUCACUGAGUAAUUUGUGUGACAAACUCUCCAGAUUGGUCGUUGUGGUUCCAGGAUUCUCCUGUCUCUGCCUCCCUCCACUGGGCUUGCACAUAGGGGCUCCAAUCUGCCUCUGUCUUUAAUCUCAGAUCCAUGCCAAGGUCUGGAAAUCUUGUAUCAUCUCUCAUGAAAGUUAGUUUGUAAGAUAUUAGCAUAUGUUCUGCUGUGAUAUAAAAUUUACCCCAUCCAUCCUGGGAAUUAUUUUAUUUUUGGAGUUUUUAAAUAUUUUUAUUAAUUCUUUGAGAAUUUUGUACAAUAUAUUUUGGUCAUAUUCACCCCCUCCUCCUAGAUGCACCUCCCCUCCUCUACUUUUUAACUGUUGAGUCUAGUUUGUGUAGUCCCUUGGUAGUGGCCUGCCUAGAGUGGGGUUGACCUGUGGGGGGCCACAGCCUUAAAAAUCAACAGAGUCUUUCUCUCCCUGCAACUGUCAGAGGUCAACACCUCUCUCCCUAGUGCCGAGACUCUGUGCCCCUCUCCCCUCCCCCAACUCCAUGCCAGGGAUUUUGUUCCUGAGCAGUUUUGAUUACAGGUCUGCACCCCUGGACUUGUUUG